rnacentral:rRNA from 1 species
AUUGAACGCUGGCGGCAGGCCUAACACAUGCAAGUCGAACGAGAGGCGGACGGGUGAGUAAUGUCUGGGAAACUGCCCGAUGGAGGGGGAGAACUACUGGAAAAGGUAGCUAAUACCGCAUACCAUCUGAUGUGCCCACAUGGGAUUAGCUAGUAGGUGGGGUAACGGCUCACCUAGGGGACGAUCCCUAGCUGGUCUGAGAGGAUGAGCAGCCACACUGGAACUGAGACACGGUCCAGACUCCUACGGGAGGCAGCAGUGGGGAAUAUUGCACAAUGGGCGCAAGCCUGAUGCAGCCAUGCCGCGUGUAUGAAGAAGGCCUUCGGGUUGUAAAGUACUUUCAGCGGGGAGGCGUUACUCGCAGAAGAAGCACCGGCUAACUCCGUGCCAGCAGCCGCGGUAAUAC